AUUGAACGCUGGCGGAAUGCUUUACACAUGCAAGUCGAACGGCAGCACGGACUUCGGUCUGGUGGCGAGUGGCGAACGGGUGAGUAAUACAUCGGAACGUGCCCAAUCGUGGGGGAUAACGUAGCGAAAGCUACGCUAAUACCGCAUACGAUCUAAGGAUGAAAGCGGGGGAUCGCAAGACCUCGCGCGACUGGAGCGGCCGAUGGCAGAUUAGGUAGUUGGUAGGGUAAAGGCCUACCAAGCCGACGAUCUGUAGCUGGUCUGAGAGGAUGAUCAGCCACACUGGGACUGAGACACGGCCCAGACUCCUACGGGAGGCAGCAGUGGGGAAUUUUGGACAAUGGACGCAAGUCUGAUCCAGCCAUUCCGCGUGCAGGAUGAAGGCCUUCGGGUUGUAAACUGCUUUUGUACGGAACGAAAAGGUCCUGGUUAAUACCUGGGGCUCAUGACGGUACCGUAAGAAUAAGCACCGGCUAACUACGUGCCAGCCGCCGCAGUAACAC
rnacentral:rRNA from 1 species